rnacentral:lncRNA from 1 species
CUAAAAACAAACCUCUCUAGUCUAAUAGCAACAAACAAAACGAAGAUUGAUCCCCAAAAUAUUGAAGAAAGCCUGCAGAUAUCUAGGUUGGAAAGCGUACAUUCCCUUUGUCAGAGGUUAGUGGAGGAGGUAAUGGAGUAGGUGUUUCUGGUCGUGGCUUCGGUGGUACUGGUCACGGGACGGGAGGUGCCAUUUAUAGAAAAGAUUGGCUACAAUAGCACUUUAUGCACUUACUUUUGGCUAUUCUACAUGGGCAACCCUGGGAAAUGGGCUUCAUUCAAGUCUUGGUCUUUUCGGAUUCACUUAUUUACGUGCAUUUUCUUAAGGAAAGAGCCUAUCUACCCAAACCUGAUAGAUGGAUGUAAUGAACCUAGCAUAGCGAAUUCUUGAAGUUGAAUAUAAGAAAGAAAGCCUACAAGUAUAGAAAGAAGUGCUAGUAUCAAAUAAACAUAAGUAGUUGAGUCAGCAUAAGUAGUUUAUUGCUUACGCCCUUUGCUUCUUCUUUUUCUCCUAGAUCCUAUAUUGCUUCCCCCUUAUAGUAAUGAUUUUCAGGUCAGUUUGAGUUACACACUAAGCUGCUUAUUACAAAAGGGCAACUCGCUUACGAUCCAACAUGCCAAGCCUGGUAGCAGAAAAGGCAUGCAACAAAUACCUAGCUUGAAAACUAGAGUAUAAAGUAGUUUAGUGAAAAGGAAAGUAGUUUAGAAAUUGUUACAAGAAUGAAAACAAAAACUAUUAAUAAACUGAAUGCAACAAAGAAUACAAAGCUAACACCCGAGGAAGGACCGCCGCUCCUUUCAUAUGCUAACUUUGCCAAUGCCCUUCCUUAUAAAAUAGACGUAAUAAUCUAUUAAAUAACAUUUUGGAUAGAUAGUCCAUUCUUUUCUUCCAACGUUGAACUCUUGACUGUGUUUGUUUGCUGGUGAAAAAAACUGUUUCUAAAAAGAAUAAGGCCGGUAGAAAUGCUAACUAAAGUCGUAGUGAAAGACCAGUUAUGAAAGAGAAAUUCAGUCAAUCCUUCCAAUCUAGUAUCUAUAAAAGAAAGUAAAGAUGGGAUGGGAUUAGAAGCACUAAUCAAAGGAGAUUUAUUUGCUGUCAUCGAGCAGGGCUGAAUAGAUAUCUGUUCUGUUGGCGAAUCUCGGGCAUCUUCAUGGCUAAGAUCAAAAGAAGUGAUUUAAUUAGUAAAAGAAAUCGAUCACUGCUUGGACUCCCCGAAUGGGAGUUACUUUUCUUUUCUUCAUGCAACCCCUGCAAAGUAAAGGUGAACCUACCUUACCCAAUAAGGAGUACGGAUUACCCGUGUACCGGGCCUAGAUAAUUUCUUUAAUUCGCUACAGGUAAGGGUUAGCACAAUACUCCCUAAGACUCAAUCCCGCUUCCUUGUGCGGCUUCGUCGAGGAAUUACCUCGUUAGCCCACGCGAACUAGCUAUCAGCUAUUAGAUAGCAAUAAGAACACCUUUCUUUCGUAAGAAGGGUUACCGAAUGAUUGGGAGGGGAAGUAAGCUUGGAGGGUUUUACCAGUGUGUGGCAUUUAACAACAUUCGUAAGUCGUUCCAGCUUUCCAAAAAACCCAGUCUCGCAGAGCACCAAUUAACUCUUUUAGGCCAGUCUCAGGAGUUUAUUUAUUUGAGCCUCUGUCUCGGAUAAGAUUAGUGCGAGCCACAUCCAAAUACCUCGGUCAAAUUAUUCUGUUUAUUAUUAUAUUAGGCCGCAGGUGGUAGAAUCCCUCUGUCUCACGAGCAAAACAGCCAAGUAAGCUAAGUUUGGAUCUGGUAAGGUUGGGUUAAAGCCAAAGUAAGGAAUGAAUGGAGAAGCACAGUCUGGCUCUAUAAGUAAGGAAAUAUCUCUAUCCGGUUAUUUGUAGUGAAAAUCAGUCUCGAGGGGAGCAAGCAAACUCCAAAUUAAUAUGAAUACGGACCUGGUUCAACAAGUCGAAAGUCAUAGGAACUUAGAGAUUCGGUUUCUUAUGUAACUCGCUUGCUAGAAACAAGUCUUGGAUGCCACAACUUCACAUCCAGUCAGUAAGUUUGUAAGUAAGGUAACUUAAGAAAAGCGAGCCAGAUAAGAUUGUUAAGAAUCAAAGCGAGUGCUGCAGAUGAUUCUGAUUUUCUAGUAACUGGUCGUCUGUACUUAAAUCAAAUGAAACAAGAGAGCCCACUUCUUACUUCUUGCAGGUGUUUGGGAGGCGGCUAAGCUACAGAACUUGUAGUUCAAGUUUACGAGCCAGAUUGGACGGAAGGAGUAUAAGAUUCAGAUUUGGAGCUAACGAGCCUAGCAACAGCUUAGUUCUUUUGUAGGUAAUCGAUCGAAUCCGCCUAGACCGGGGAAGAUUUCUAAGAAAGCAGGUCUAGCAUUUUAAACAACAUUUGCCAAUGCACAAAGUAUGGUAAGUAAGGUAGGCUUAGCUGACUGAUGCUUACUAAAUCGAAACUUUGACUUCUAUAUCCAACUCAGUCUUUCCCUUAAGAUCUCUGCUGUUGGAGAUAGCGUGGGCGGCCCCUCACUUUUAUUCAGAACUUUGAUGGUACGAAGUGCCCAGUAAGCCUGGCUGGAAGAAAGGAAUAUUAAUUACAACCACUUGUAUACAGCUUAGUUGGACUCAAAGGAUAUAAGGGAAUUGGCGCUCGCUCGGAUUCAUUUUCCAGGUCCUACAUGUUCUAGGACUAUAGAUGAUCCAACAUGCCUAUAGUUUUCAUUAUUGUUUUAUGCUUUAGCCUCCUUUUAUAAGCACGCCCAUGCGAGUCGAUUUCAAGAUGUCAACUUUGACUAUCUUUCUCUUCUUACUUUACUUAUCCCUUACAUUACUUUACCUAGUAACUUUGAAAUAGGCAUAUCUUGUCUACCUUCCAUAUACCCUAGCAUUUCUACUAGUUGUUUUCUUGCAUAUAUCCAACCUGAAAUACCAUUGCUUCUUGUAGGUUUUUACUUCUACUUUCUUGACUAUAAUUACCUAUACUUGCCAUCCCGUCUUUCUAUUCCUUUUGAAAGUCAACUUGUGACUGACACAGCCUUCGAAGCUAUGAAAAGACCUAUUAUGUAUAGAGCUUGACAUGCCAACUACUAUAGCUAUAGUAAGUAGUUCUAGCUAUUCCUACUUGUUUUUUUCCUACUUGACUAGUGCUGACUUCUUUGCCUAUGAAAAUUCUUAUUAUUCUCCAAACUGUGGUAUCUGAAAUGACCCACUUUCCUGAGCAAAAGAAAUCUUACUAUAGCACGGUCUUACGUCCAGGAAUGGAACAUUCCAUCUCUUCUUGUCCACUGGUAUAGAAAGAAUAUGCAUUUUCUUGACCCACCGAAUCCUAAUCCUCAUCUUCAAGGGUCCACCAGGGCUUCCAAAGCUAGACUAUCCUCGGCAAAGAACCUAAGGGCGCUCCACCAGGGCUUCCAAAGCGAAACUAUCCUCGGCAAAGAACCUAAGGAAUUCCUCGAAUCGAUAGACUUUCGUACAACGGCAAACAGAGAGAGGGUUUUACGCUACUUCACAGUCAUAAGCAAGGGUGGAAGGUAUAACUCUAGCCGGCAGGCAGGAGGGAACGAAGCUCUUUCCUGAUCUUGGGCUAGAAUCCCCGACGUUGGUAGAUUUCGCAGUGGUGUAUCUUAGGAUCUUAAAGGUAAGCAACAGGGUUAAUCCCUAUCGAAGGAAUGGGGCUUUUCUUCACUUCAGCACUUCCCCUCGCAGUGGAUUCCACUAGGUUCUUAACCUCUUCCCAAUUCUUAAACUAAAACCUGCGAUGUCUAAUCCAACUCGGCACCUAACCAACUUGUCAGCAUCGUAAGUUUGCCUCAACAUUCCCCCUAGAAAUAGAAUAAGAAUGUAAAUCUACUUUCAUUUAUUUAUUAGGGAUGAGACUUUCUUAUAUAUUUUUAUAAUAAGUAUGCUCUGGAGUAAAAGGAUUCGAACCUUUGCAUGCCGGGACCAAAAACCGAUGCCUUACCGCUUGGCUAUACUCCAAACGGUCGGUUCCCAGGGAGAGGGGGAAGGGAGAAGCAGGGCUCGAAGAAAACGAGCCGUGCAAGGACGCGGGGAUAUAGCAAGUAAGCUGCAAGGUUUUCCCUUUAGGAACGGCUACAACAAGCUCGCGACUCUAAUAGAAACAAAGGGUCAGCUCUCUGCUCUAUUUGCUUGCAAUGCGUUGCCUAUCAAAGUCGGCGAACGCUUCCACCCCCUCUUGCCUUUGUUACGCAACACGCCAACAAAGAACCUUGGUUCCGUUGCGCCCUGUAUUCCGAGGCGACCAUUUCGCGUGGUUCGACCCAUUUCCCGAUCCGAAAAAUCCGAUAACGUACCUAUAUGAGUGGGAUGGAUGGUAAAUCAUUUGCAGUCUUUUUCGGCAGGACCUAGACACGGAGGUUCGGGAAGUAGCGCAUGACAGCAUUCACUGGUGAAAGGACUGGUAGCAGCGAGAGCAUCAUAGUUGACAUGGUCGGAGCUACAGUCCCCAUAUCCGUCUCUACUCUUUCUGUAAUUGACUCCCUCCCGCUCCCCCUUUUCCUUUGAAAUGGUUGAGGGAUAUGAAUCUGGAUCCCGAUCUUGUCUCUCGGACUAUCCCGUAGUGGUUCUGUGACCGUCAAUUGGAUCUAUUUCUUUCACACGGUCAACUGGCAUUGGUUUAACUAACUGGCUGGCUGCUAUUGAUUGAUAUCAGAGCCCGAGCCUUUGCCCCUUUUUGCAUGGUCUACCUCCUAUCGGCUACUGAAGCCCGAGUAUCAAACUACUGAAAGCGGAGGUUCAAAUACCUCGGUACCUGCUUGAUGGUGCUGGCAGAUCGACUACUUGGUCUGGGGUGUUUCGUAUCAAUCCAUGGGGGCUUUAGUCAUAGCCCCCGCCUCUGCUUUGUUCCCGCUCUAGGCUUAGACCAUCCUUCGUCAGUGCUUCCUGUGCUUCUGAUUAUGGAGCUGUACGACCUUCCGGGUCAACGAAUUAAAUGAAACAACUACCUCUCCCGUCCAUCAAAAAGUGUUAUUUCCUCCAGCUCUCGACUCCGCUUCUCCCUCCGAUGCCGGUAGAUUAAUUCAUUGACAAAACCCAUUGAUUCAAAGCAAGAAAACGGAUGCGCGUGCUAACGCUUUCGCGCUAGUGCACUCAAUCCGUUGCUUGUUUGGAACAAGAGUUUUCAUAAAAUGGUUCUUUUAUGCAAUUAUGAACGGGCAGGUCUCUUGUGGAUUCCUCCAACACCAUGAAUGAAGGGGGGAGUAUGAGGAAGGCCGAUUUUCUUUCUAUAUGAAGAUGAAAAAAGGAUCAGGGUCAAACAUUUCUUACUUUUGUUGAGUAUGACUGAAUGAGGAAGAGCUCCUUAUAUGGUAUCACUUUACCACCAUCUGAAAUGCGCGAAACUCCGAUUGGUGGAAGCCAGUCCAUGAAGAUUCCCCCUUCUCUUACGUGAAAUUCCCCUCUUUCGGUAAGCAUCCAGUAUCUCAGCAAAUGAACAUUUCUCUAAGCUUAUCCUGUAGCUUAUACGUCGUUAGAAAGCUGCUCCAAGGAUCCAACGAAUAGCUAAGGUUUGUUGACGAUCCCUGGCUACAAUCCCAGGAACAUCAUAAAUAGUACCUGCGACUCCUACUUUGACCACUUCGCAUAUUGGCUUUAUAUUAUCUACGGCGUCAACCAUAAGUUUGAUUACAUCGCGUUCAGUUCGAGCUAGGCGGUGAAAAGUUUUAUAAACAAUAGCACGAACUCUCGUUCUUUUACCAUCGAUCAAUGCGAAAGUUUACCAAUUUCUUGAUCAAUUCUUUUUGCUCACCAUCAAAGUCCCCCAUAUAGCUGAGAAUUUCCGAGCAAUUGGAAAUCGAUGACGAGGCCGAUAAAUUGAUAUUACGCGAUCGUUACUGUCCAUCUUUUUAAGCUCUGCUCCCGAAAAGAGAAAGGAGACUAAUCUUAACAUUGGCGUCGGUUUUUCCAACAAAACGAAGAAGUUUUUUUCUUUUUUUGAGAAUGAGCACACUGUGAACUAUCCUUUUUGAAGCGGAUAGUUGAUCGAACCAAAACCAAGACACUGUACACUAAAAAGACUAUUCGACGCUUCAGCUUACCACCCCCUCCCUCGAACUGAGCUAUUCCGAUGAUAAAUCACCAGGAUGACAUAAGACAGACACAAAACCUACGUACCCAUUACUUAGAGGAUCCGCCAAGCCCAAGCCUGAAAGCAAGGGUAUGAUGACCACUCUCUGAAAGCUUAAAACUGGCCCCGAUGAGCACGGAGACUAGUUGAGGUCCGAACGCGCACUCUUCCUUCGUUUAUUAAUACAGAAUUUAUUUGUAGGGAAUCCAGCCGGCCCCUCCGAUUGCAAGACAGACACGUCUGCAACAUGGAAUUUGUAAACCAAAAGUUUAUACGGAUUGCGCAGUACGGUAUGGUCUGCUAACUAAUUCUGGUGAACCCAAUGAUCUGUAUGAGGCACUUGAUGAUAAAAAUUGGAAGGGAGCAAUAGAUGAAGAGUAUGGUGCUUUAAUGCGUAAUAACACAUGGCACUUGGUUCCCGCAACUCAGGGACACAAUUUGAUUGAUUGCAAAUGGGUUUAUAAGAUAAAAAGGAAGGCUGAUGGUACUAUUGAUCGGUACAAGGCUCGUUUGGUUGCUAAAGGGUUUAAGCAACGUUAUGGUAUUGACUACGAAGAGACUUUCAGUCCUGUAGUCAAGGCGGCCACAAUUAGACUAAUAUUGUCACUAGCAGUCUCUAAUGGAUGGUCUUUGCGACAGCUAGAUGUUCAAAAUGCUUUUCUUCAUGGAGUUCUUGAAGAAGAUGUUUAUAUGCGUCAGCCACCUGGUUAUGAAGACAAGUCAAAGUUGGAUUAUGUGUGUAAAUUAGAUAAAGCACUCUAUGGUCUCAAGCAGGCACCAAGAGCAUGGUUUUCCAGACUAAGCAUGAAAUUGCAGAAUCUUGGAUUUCAACCGUCAAAAGCAGAUGCUUCGCUCUUCUUUUACAAGAAAGGUACAAUCUCCAUAUUUGUGUUGAUAUAUGUUGAUGACAUCAUUGCUGCUAGUUCUUGUGAAAAAGCAACUUCGGCAUUACUUCAAGAUUUGAAAGAAGAAUUUGCCCUUAAGGAUCUUGGUGCAUUGCACUAUUUCUUGGGCAUAGAAGUUAAUAAAGUUCAUGAUGGAAUUAUCUUGACUCAAGAGAAGUAUGCUACUGAUCUGUUAAAACGUGUCGGCAUGCAUGGCUGCAAGGAGAUCAAUACACCGUUAUCAACAAUAGAUAAAUUAUUGGCGAAAGAAGGUGAGCCUCUAGGUGCGGAGGACUCUACAAGGUAUCGAAGUAUUGUUGGUGCGUUACAGUACUUGACAUUGACCAGACCGGAUAUAGCUUUUCCGGUAAAUAAAGUUUGCCAAUAUCUACAUGCUCCCACUUCAUUGCACUAGACAGCAGUUAAGCGCAUAUUGAGAUAUCUCAAAGGAUCCUUGGGACUUGGUCUUCGAAUUUGCAAGUCAGAUUCAACUCUAGUAAGUGCGUUCUCAGAUGCUGAUUGGGCAGGAUGUCCAGAUGAUCGCAAGUCCACUGGAGGGUUUGCAGUAUUCUUGGGAGCUAAUAUGAUUUCUUGGAAUGCUCGGAAGCAGGCAACUUUUUCAAGAUCAAGUACCGAAGCAGAAUACAAAGCCUUGGCAAAUGCUACUGCAGAAAUUAUUUCGGUUCAAACCUUACUCAAGGAACGCGGCAUAACUCAGCCGCGGGCUGCAUGCUUGUGGUGUGACAAUAUUGGUGCGACCUCCUUAUCAGCAAAUCCAGUCUUCCAUGCGUGAACUAAGCACAUAGAAGUGGAUUACCACUUUGUGCGUGAACGAGUGUCUCAAGGGUUGCUGGAUAUUCGGUUUGUUCCUUUAGGAGAUCAAGUAGCAGAUGGCUUCACCUGUAACCUACCUAGAAGGCAAUAUAUACAAGGCGGCCUCCAUUGUGGAGGUUAACACGCUUCAUCAAUAGGUUACACAAAUUUACAGUGCUAACAUGACUGCAUCUCUACACGCCAGCAUCUCCACUGUGCUCGGAUCACUGAUAUGGUAUAUCUUCGACACUCAGCAGUGACAAAGUUUCCUGUAUUAUCCCGUGCAACAAUUCCUGCACCCGCAACUCCAUCCUUCAAGUUCAGUGCUCCAUUAGUGUUCAGUUUCAUCCAUCCCAAAGCAGGUGGAGCCCACUUCUGAACCACAGCCGAUGGGUCCUCCUGAGAUGGAAUCUCCAGAGAUUUAAUGAGCUCAUCAACCAAUUCAACAGACCUUAACGACUGGUACUUGACAUCGCCAUGGUUGUAGCUGUUUCGGCUCCCCCAGAUGGUCCACAUUACAGAGACUGCAAUUGCCGCCUCCCGUUUGCUCAUGAUAUCUGCAUCCAACACGUCCCACGACCAUGUAGCUGGGUUUAACCGUGGCAUCUUGAGAUCAAAAAGAUCCUGAGCCGCACUCCAAAACAAUUUUACAUGCUCACAUUCGACUAAUGCAUGAAACUUUGUUUCAUUGUCAUUGCCACAGAGAGGACAAUUACUUAUUUCUUUCAUAUGGCUUCUGCGGAGUUCAGCAGCACAGGGUAGCAAAUUUUUCACCACCCGCCACCAGAACACUCUUAUCUUAGGCAUUAUCCGGAGUCUCCACAGUGCUUUCUAGGUAGCCUCGUUACCCGUGGACGAUCCCGUAGCAGGUUCAGACAGGCCACAACGCUGAAUGAGUUCCCUGUACGCAGAUCUCACCGUAAAUAUGCUCGUUUUGUCCCAUGCCCAAGCCCAAAAUUCAUCUUGCUCUGUUCUCGGCCUUGGCAUGUUCAGAAUAGCAGCCGCAUCCAAUGGAAGGAAAAUCCGCUGCACCUUCUCCACAUCCCAUUGGUUUGUAUUAUGCAACAUGAGAUCGGCAACUAACUGAACUGGAUCAUCAGUCAUUCUCCCUAACGGCUUCAUUGUUUAGUAGUCCAUCUAUCCAUUGAUCAUGCCAUAUUUCAGUGGUACGACCAUCUCCGAUCCUACAGAUCAAUCCCAUUCUCAGUACCUCUCUUCCUUUGAUGAUCCAAGUAGACGAGGCACCUCGAGGGCAAUUAGCAGAUAGAAUAUCUCCUCCUUUGCUGUAUCUCCCCAGCAAAACACGUGCACAAAGACUAUCGGGCCUGUCCAGCAAUUGCCAAGCUUGUUUGGCCAGCACGGCAUCGUUGAAACUCUCAAGAUCCCGAAAACCAAGUCCUUUUUCAUUAAAGAAGCAAAUAAAUGACUUCAGGGGCUUGUGUGUUGAUUUUGUUUUGAACACAUACUUGAAUUUCUCCUUGCUACCUAAUAAGAGUUCAAAAGAAAGGAAGGCCCUAUUCCAGUCAAAAGUACUCUUUACGCUCACGAGCAGUCCUAUGAGGAUCCCCCCUGGUUCUGACUAUGAUUCACUAGGGCGAAGAUCUAAUAUAAUCUGGUUCAAGUUUUCCUUUUCUAUCGGGCCAUGGAUCACCUUCCUUUUUUCCAUUUUUUUAACUUGAUCACGCAACAUUUCUUUCUGCUUUGACCCAAUUGAUGACUUUGUCAAACUCCGUAGGUAGGGAGGAGUGGUCUUUCAGGAUUGGUCCUUGUGUUUCACUACUGUACACGGAUGGACCUCCUCUUUUUUAUGCAUCUUUUGAUUUAGUUUUUGCAAUACCUCAUUCACUUCAAGGGCACCCCAUUGCAACUAAUGAAUAAUGAAUUUGCUGUCUUCUAUCUAGGCCGACACCGGGAUUCACCACAACCCUUUGUUGUAUUCUUGAAGUCAAUCCAUAGUCAUGAGUUCUGAUUAAAGAAAGCAAGCCAUACAUACAUCAGUGGGCUGAGAAGCAAAUAGUUCCCCCGCCACUCCAUGCUAUAUUUCCUGCCUUGACCCUAUCAAGCAAGAGAAGAGGGUUGGGGGUGUGCUGUGAUGGUCUUACUGAUAUAGAACCCUUCCCUCAUUGAAAAGAAAGAUGCCCUCACCCGAUAGUUCUUCUUGCUUUAGCUUGGAUACCGGAUAAGUUGAUCUGAUUCAAGAUAUCUUAGAACACAGCACAUUCAGUGCAUAGGCCGGCCAUCAUCUCUCUCCUUGGAUAAGCAGGAUUUAGCAGGAAAUAUCGACAGCAUUUCCUAUAGAAAAGAAGCCUACUUGGUUGGGUGGGAGGAUGAAAAGAUUCUCUUCCUACUGGAAGAUGGCACUGUUGAAGUCUGGAGAGCGGAAGAUAUUUAAGUAAGGAUGUUAUGCCAGGUAGCAUUCGGUACAAGAGUGAGACGGAGGUAGCUCCGUAGAAGAAAGUAGUUUUGCAAAGAAGCUUGUUCUUCGGAGUAGAUUGGCACUACGGCACUACUAGCUUUUGAACAGAAGAAAGAGUUUGUUUUCUCGUCAUAAGUGCCACCAAUCUCGUUCAGGCACUAAACUAGUUUCUGGGAGGAUGGAUGGUUGUCCCUUCUUCUCAAUAGAAUCCGAUAGACAAGAAUCGAAAGCUGCAGAUUUUUUUAUUCCUCAAGUAAGUCAGUUGAUGAUUCAAUUCCAUCAAAGAUGGCAAGAGCGGGGCAUCUAGAUUGAUUCGUUUUUAAGGUUGUUAUACCGAAUAAAAAGUAUUCUGAUUCUCUGUUGAGGCAAGCUAUUCAUCAUUAACAGGAAAGAUCCCAAAGCUGUUAUUGCAAACAUGGGAUAGCCUGACUCUACGCUACAAUCUCUAUUUUCUUAUGAUAUUGAAUCUGGCUUCUAUUAUUGAAUCAGGCUUCUAUUAUUCAAUCUCUAGUUACCGUGGGAAAAGAAAGAGAUAAGAGCUCUUAGUGCAUGCCUUUUUUUUUGUGAUUCGAGCAGUUCUUGUCACAAGAUGAUGGGCCAGAGAAAAGUUUGAUAGGAAAGGAAGGCGACAGUUAAAUAAAAAAAAAGAAAGGGAAGAUGAUACUGAUAUAAGAGUACUGCUCUUUGCCCUAAGAUUACGAUCAGUCACUUUUUAUGUUUCAAUCAGCUCCUCACUUCUUAUUAAGGUUUUCGCGACCGACACCUAGUUCUUUCCACAUCACUCCACUGUUUGAGCAAUUUCCACUCUCCUUCCUGGUCAAACCUAUCAAAACCUUCGUUCAAGAACUCAUUCCAGCCCAUGCCUUCUCUGACUACUCCUUUCACUUUUUGAAGUGUAUUUAUUUGGAACAACUUUAAAUACUUCUCGCACUUGUCAACCCAUUCCCUCGUUCUCCCCUCCAUUAAACAUAGGAAAUUUAACCCCAAUCCAGGGUCAAACGAAGAUACUUGUUAGCCUAGCAUCAUGUGUAUCUGUAGCCUUCCCUAUUUUUGACAAUCUCCUAUUUCUUCGUAGCACGUGUCUCCUUCCUAUGUUCCGUCCCCUGUUACUGGAUAAGUAGAUUUUCUGUUUGAAGUGCCUAGAAGAUCCAGCAAACGGAGGUUAUCUCUCCCGCCUUGAGUUUCGGUCUUACGCAUUCAAGCCUAGAAUAAGGCCUAACAAUAGGGUGUAAACUUUAGCGAACUUCCAUGCUUAUAUAAUCCAAUCAAUUGCACCAUGAUUAAUCCACUAGACAAAAGGAAACCACAAUCACUACAUUAACCGAGCUAUAUUAGCCGCGCUUUCAAGAGCACACAUAGAAACCACUUAACAGUGACUCCUUCUGUUAGCUAUUCAUUUCCUGGGAGUUCAGACUGACGGUUAGGUUCUUUUUCUAAAUUUACUUAAGAACUUUUGGGCAAAGGAUACACCGGAAAAGAAGAGGAGCCUUUGUUCGUUUGGCAUUCGUUGGGGAUUCAUUUCUCGUUUUGCGAUUAGAUUCAUUGCUCGUCGAUAUGGUUUAGUAAAAAGGUUUUUUCUUUUUGAAAACCAGAUUCAUGCCCAGAAGAGGAUCCUCUAUCUGCUCUCGAAGCAGUCGUCAGCCUAAGCUUAGGUUUUAAAUCCUUAGGUUGACCCUACCCCUUUUUCUUCCUUUCCCUAUCCAACCCGAGCUCUAUCGGUCAUGGCUUUCUCCUCUCUUCAAUUCUUUCCGCCCAAACUAAUCCGCACUAGCCCCAAACCCUAGCCCUGUUGUCUGGAUUCCCGAUCUCUCUCCUACAAGAAAAACCUAUUCCACUAACGACUCUCUUUGUCUUAUAACUUGCUAAUACCCACAUGAGAAACGGUUUCCCCUCGCUUUCAGCCUCCCAUUAUGUCGUAGGCUCUCCGGACCUUCCAUUAUAUUUGAGAGAUGAAAUGCGUAAUUCAAGUCAUCAAACGAGCAUAAUGAAACAUCCAAUGCCUCGAGAGAGGAAUUUUAGAGACAUUGCUGGGCCCUUAGCCUGCCAGUCAACUUCAGCCUGAGAUGUGCCCGUCAAACCACUCGAAGGCGGCGAUCAGAUGUGUUACACAUUCAGGAGACUUGACAAAAAUGGCUAAAGAUCUACAACCUCUCAAAUAUCCCUAACUCAUACUCAUGUGAAUCUAGUUCCCAGGAUGUGCACUAGAUUCACACUUUCAUCUUAAGCAUGAUUAUACAUAGCAAACACAACUAAGAUGAAAGAAACUUAAGACUUACAACAACUUAAUAAUUACAUAGGCCGACCGGCCAAAUAGACUUAUUAGAGAACAGCGGAAGCUUGACUACCCAAUCACAAGCACACCGACUAGGGGUUUACCCCAUUAAGUUCUCAUCCUAGAAGAAGCAAUCGGAACCCGCAUCACUCAAAGACUAAGACUAAACCUGCAAACAAAAGGUUAUAUCAACAGCAAGAGUCAGUACAUUAAACAAGUUAAUGUACUGGCAAGCACAAGUCAAUCCUACUAUACUACAUGUAAGGCAUAUAUUCAAAGGAAGGCAAUAUGUAGUUCAAUUUCAGCAUAAAGCAAGUUUUGUUUUGCAAUUCUUUUGUAAAGGAGUUGAUGCUUCAAUUAACAAAGACAAGUUUUAAGUUUCAUUAUUAACUUCUUCAUAAUUCCAUCAUAAACAAUCUCUUUUUGCCAUACUUAACAAUAAGUCAUAAUGUAUCACCACAUACACAACUCAACACAUUUAUCAAUUUCAAACCCAUGUCACAUGAUCACAUUUUUAAAACAUAGUCUAUACUCAUGACACAUCACCAAAGCGCUCAUGACCGUGAGCACGGCUAAUCGAUUAGUUUAAAGAACUCUGCAGAGUUUGUACAGCUUUACCCACAUGAUAUGAACUCUCUAGUUUGUUUUGAGUUUGCAAGACUCCACCACACUCUUCAUGUUGAAUGUGAUCUAGAGGUCAUAACGAAGCCUUUACACUACUUAGAGCCUAGCCUUGCACCAGCACGAUACGUGUUCCUCCAUCCUAGGCAUACUUGGAAUAUACCUGGAACCGUUAAGUGGCGGGCCCACGCCUUAAACUUAACGCCGUGGUGGCGGACACGACGGGAACCCACCACGUGGCACAAUACCGUUGUAUUGGACACGCUUAGUCACCUAAACUACCACGUCGGGGUAAAUAGGAAGCUCCUCUGAAUUAUACGAACUCAUACACACCGGCCUACCAGAAUGCAAAGCUAGUCCUAAAUAGAUUACUCAGCUUAGGCCAUCCCAUACUAGCACAUGUGGAUGUACGAAUAACUUUAAAUGGGUGACACAAGUUCGGUCCUUAUCGACUUGGGCAAACACUCCCCCUAUCGGUAUGCAACUAACACCAUAUGCACACCACUUGCCGCCCAAGUAUAAAAUCACAUUUUACAUAUUUUAGUUCGUAAAUACCCAUCAUAUUCAUUUUAUUCCAACAAAGGUUCAUAUAUCAAAAUCAUAUUUUAAUUAUAGAUGGAAUGAGCAUUUGCAUAGUUCUAAGCAUGGCUAAGCAAGUAGUUACAAAUAGAGCAUAUAUAAACCCAUUUGAGCACAAAGAGUGUACUCUAACCAUUUCUAGGGGUUCAAACAGUAAGAGGAUCAAUUAUUCAAGGUGGGGUAUGCAGCAAAUAGGUCAUAACUACCUUAACCCAAUUUUAAAUACCGAUAUAAUCUAAGUUCACAUGCAGCUUUGCAAACAAACAUUUUCAUUCCUCAAAUCAUGGGAUUCAAUGUGUUCAAAGGAUGGGAGGAGAAAACUUGCCUUGAUCAGAGAAUUGUUAGCACCUAAUCCACUUCUUCACCGAUUAUGCAAUUAUCUAGAAAAAGGACACGACAUGCAAUUAAACACCGGAAGAGGUGAAAAUCCAAAAUGCUCUAAAAUGCAUGAUUUAUGCACAGUGGGUUGGAAAUGAUCUAAAAUGAAUUUAGGUGAAAUAAUUCCUAUUUUAUUUUAUUCCAUUUGGGAGUUAUGAAUUUUAGAAUUUUUAUCGGUUUACAAUAGUAUAGUCUUAGGUAGUGUUAUGAAAUACUUUUGUAAAGUGAUUUUUAUUAGAUUAGACUUCACAGGGGUGUGGAGAUGUGUUUUCUAAGACUAACACAUUUGGUUUCACAAUUUUUGGAAUUAUAAUGAAUUCUUUAUGCAUUUUACAAGUUAUAACGUGUUUUAGACAUAUAGUGUUUUAUAUGUUCAUGACUUUUGAGUUAUAGGUUCAGAACAUGCUACUUCCUGUUUAAGUUGAAUAAAAGGAAUAAUUCGCUUAACUAAAACAUUUUUAGUUCACAUGUUUAUGGUCUUUACUACUAUGGUUCAUAUUUUAUAAACUAGAGAUGCUCUAAUCUAAACUAGCAAUAUAUUAUAUUAACCUAGAAAUUGUUAUAUGAGCUAAGUUCUUCUAAGUUUUAGUGGAUGAGGAUGGAACUAUGGCUUCACUGGUCAAUCAAGUUUUUAUUUAGGUUUAAUUAGACCUAAAGUGUAUAUAUAUACUUAUACAUGUUUAUGUAUUACUUAAACAACACUAUGUGUUUAAAUUCUUAUUUCACUAAGUUAAGGUUUUGAUCAAUGUUCUCUACAAAAGGUGACAAAUUUUAUUUUACUAUGUUGAAGAUAACUAUUUGCUGGUUCUAUAGAAACUUUGUUCAUUUCAUUUGGACUAAAAAUAAAUUUUCUACAAGUUUUACAAAUUAAUGGCUGCUCUAUGUUAGUAAAUUCUUAUAUGAAUAUUUAGAGACUUUUACUACACAGCAAGUAUAUAAUCUUAUUUCAUAACUUGGAAAUACAUGUUUUAGUGAUCCUACAUAACUUAAGUUUAUUCAAAUUGAAGCUAAAUUGGGUUCUACAUGAAUUUCUAAAGUUUAGCUUAUCUAAAACUAAUCAUUAUAGAGAUAAUAGUUUUAGAGGCAUUUGAUGCAAAGUAAGUCAUUACUUUUAUUUAACCUAAUCAGAGAGUGUCUGAUGAUGAAUCUGCAGUUUUUGAGUUUGUUUCAAAAUGAGUUGAAAUGAAUUUUCUAUGUAUUUUAUAAGUUUGUACAUGUUUUAUGCAUGACUUAUCUUAGAUAAAUCUUAGAGACAUUAUUUGUACAGUGAGUGUCAAGUUUUAUAUUCCUGGAAUAAAGUUCAUAACUUCAAGAAUCUACAGCAACUGGAAUCACUUCAAAAUGAGCUUCAUUUGAUUUUAUAUAGAUUUUACAACUUUGUGCAUUUUUCUGCUAAACAUGUAUUUGUUUGGGCAUUUUCCUAAUUUUUCUUCAGAUUUUAAAGGAUGGGUCCACAUGGCUGUGAGGGACCAAUAUGCACAAAGGCCCUUGAGGUUUCUAGGAAUCAACCCGCAGUCCUAGGCCCAUAUGUCAGUUACUAAUAUUUUGCGCAAAAACCCCUGGUUUCUCGGGAAAUAGAUCCCGCAGUCCCCUAGUUUUAGGUUUGUAUGCAAAACGAUGCUUGAGUUUUAGUUUAUUUACAGAUUAUUACUGGUCCUACUUGUAAGUGACUGUUCCAGUUGUUAAUACAUCCCUGGGAAUCUUUAAAUUUCAAAAGCCAUGCCCUUGCUCUGGACAGAGCAGAGCAGCAGCACAGCCGCGAGCUUCACAGCAUCACCAGUGGCGAACAACGGCGAUUCAGCUUAAGCUCCCAAAACAAAAAGUGUAGAGAACAACCGUGUGAACCUAUUGGUGGCUUUCUGGCAAGAUUUGGUGCUCUAUAGCGGCUGUUAGGGUGUUAGAGGCGGUGGCUAAGCUCGGCUUGCACAUGCAUGUGGGUUUUGAGGCUCGAUUUAAUCGUGCAUGCGUAUGAUAAGGACUCUAGGGACUACUAGGAGGCUCACCAAGAAUCAAACGCGGCUCGGCGAAGUCUUGGCGACGGUGUACUGGUUCGGCGACGGCGCAACUGCUACGGUCGUCGUCGACGGUGUACUCCCGGGCUUCUACUGCAUAUAGAGGGUGCAUGCUUCGGUUUAGAUCAGCACAAGGUAGCUCUAGGCGAAAAAUAUUGCGCCGAAGCUCACCAGAGAAGGAGAAAGAAAGGAAUGGCGUCGGCGGCCAGAGUUGGAAAAAAAAAAGAAGAGGAUCUCCCACCGUGGUCCACCUCGCGUCGAUUCCUUCGGGAUUCUUGAUCUACAGAGGUUGAUGAAGCUCGUGGCGAAGUGGCUCAGCUUGUCACGAACCGUGGAAGCUGGGCGACGAGCAAAGGCGAAGCAGCGGCGUCCAGAGCGCGACGGUGUUCCGAGUUGACGCGGUCGCGUUCCCGGAGAUUGGCUGCACUAAAAGAGGCGUUCUUGGUGGCGUUAGAGACGGCAUUGAGAGGGAAUUACAGAACGCUUAUUGAACGGAAAUGGAGCUCACCGGAUUGCGACGGCGUCGAGGACUUCUCUCACCGGCGCCGGAGUUGGCACCCCCGUUCCCGGCGAAUCCGAGGCGGGGUACCUCGGUUCUUCUGCGAAACGAGACAGGGGCGAGAGAGAGUGAGAGUUGGUCGGCCAGUCGGGUUAAGUACGGUCGCCGGCGGAGAUGGGGAGGAGGAGCUCGCCCUCUUCCGCGCUCAACGCGUGCUCACACGCGUGGCGCGCGGGGUCUGAGUCGUGGGCCUGUGUGGAGAGGGAUGUGAGGCUGACAAUGGGGUCCCACUAGGCAAGAGAGAGGUGUAGAAGGAGGAAGUGUUGGACAGGGCUGAACCUAGCCUAAGGUACUGACAAGUGGGGCCAACUCGAUGGAAACUAGGCCAGGGAGAGAGAUAUGGGUAGAAGACUGGUAAACUUGAUUUUUAGAUUAAUUUUCGGAAUUAUUUUCUCCUCUAACUUUGUAACUACAUAAUUCAAUGUGUGGACCAAAUUAAUUAGUGUUGAUUUUACUGGAGGUAAAUGAUUACACCUAGAUUCCAUUUUCUUUGGUUGCACUAAAAAAUAAUGGGUGGACUGCUCACAGAAAUUAAACAAAGAUGGGCUAUUAGAAAGCUAGAUUGAAUUUUUAGGAGGCUUAAACAGAGAAGGAAAAUUCUAGAAAAAUUACAUUUAUUCAUGAUAACUAAUCUAGUAUUUGAAUAAAUUAUUUUCCAUGUUCACUUAUGUGCAGUUAAAUGUACUUUUGGAUGAAAUAUGGUUUUAGCCGAUUAAAAUUUAAUUUGAUUUCUUUUAGUUGUCUGCUUCGACCGAUUAAUUUGAGAUAUCAACUUGAGUGUUAACACGUUACCAAAUUACGGAGGAUAAGUUUGUGCUAAUCAUUGUCCACAUAAAUUUUUCCAUGAUUUUAUCUUGCACAAAAUAUUUUAGAGAAUUAAGUUGACCUUUAUUUGUAUAUGUGUUCCCACUUCAUAAUUGCAUCUAAUAUUAUUAUAGGGAUUACAUUAAACUUCUUUUAGACUGAGAAGAUGAUAUUUGAGUUUAAUAUUAAGUCCACAUGUUAUCACCCAAGAUUAACUAUAGGUUUGUUUAGUGAAGUAAUUCUUUUAGAUUAUGCUCAUGGGAUCUAUUAUAGAAUGCAAGACCAAAACUCCAAAUGCACAAAGAACUCGAGCCUAGGCAUGCAUUAUGUACAUGUAUGCUUGGUGACAUUUCUAGUCUAAUGUUGGGAAUGAAAAGGUUUUAUUUUGUUCUCAAAUUUUAAUCAUGCAAUGGUUUAAGUUGAUCAUCACCUAAAUUAAAACGGAAAUUUUUGGCUCUCAAAAUUGGAGAAAUUAACCUCUAACUAUUUUGAUAAGAAAUUUUAAGUCCUAAAAUUUCGGGUAUGUUACACAUUAUAAGCUAGAUGACUCUACUGUGACAUGUUAUGACGAUCUGGAAGCCCCCAACCAUAGAUAGAUGCUUUGAUCAUCCAGGUUUUGCCAAUCCACGAACUGCAUCGUAUAAUAACCGCGGAUAUCAGGCGUAGGUUGACCUUGAGUGGUUCACUGAAGGGUAGGGCUAUCUCUUCCCUUUCCAUGCCUUUGAUUCAUCCCGGAUUGUGUUGAUGUGCACAUGAACAAAAGUGCACAUUCCUAUCCCCGAAGCAAAUAAAUCAGAUGACUUUUCCGAAGCAAAGAAGAAGAUGAUGGCUCCUACAAGGCACAACACCAAUGGAACAGUGGAACGGGUAUCUUUUAGCAAAGCAAAGGGAAAGGAGGUAUCAUACCAAGGGGUUGAAGAAAGGGUUUAACCAGCGGAUUCGCAUAUCUUUUUCCAAUGGCUUCCCGCAUCCCUAGUUUUUUAACUCCUGGUUUCGGGUAACGGUUAUGGGUUUGGCCCCCUUCCCUUGGCGAGCAUAAGAACCAUUCGUAUACGUUAGGAGCAGAAGUUGACGUGGGUAUACUCUUCAUUUCAUCCUUUUCAUUGAAUCCCCUAUCCUAUUAUCCAGCAACGCCCAAGCUGUCGAUGAUCACCUAGCUCUUGUUGGAAGCAAUUGAAGUAUACUCUACAUCAACAUGGGAUUGAAAAGGUGAGGGCGUAGCGAGCGCUAGAGCUAUUCCUACGAAAAGGGGAGCUAUUCCUAUGAUUCCUAGUAUCCGUUCAUCGAUAGACUGUCCUCGGGCAAGGGAAAUAUACUAACACUAUUACUCAACCCAUAAUACCCUUUCCAAGGGCUCAAAACGGGUCUUUGCUACAAUCCAAUCCAUUUUCAAACAAAAGAAAAGAGCAAGUUCCCACAGGCGAAGAGCUGCUUCCGAGAAAUAUUUAUCUUCUUUUACCCCCUUUACGCCCUUCGCGGCUGCUAACAAUGAGCUAAUACACAGGAACGGCACGGCUCCUACACCGCUUAACUCCAAUAACAGAACCUGGUCCCACAUCCCUUGCAUUUGAUAAUGAAACAAUCAGAAUUUGUUGAAUUGAACAUAUUUCAAUCUCAUUUCUUUUACGUGGUUUUGGCAACUAUCAAUUAUCUCUUUCCUCGGCUUCCUACACGGAUAUAGCCGUAAACGGUAUCUAGUAGGCAACCUGGGAACUACAUUAGCUUAGGGGGAUCGGGUAGCGAGCGCUCUCCUCGGCAAAGCACAUGAUUGAGAUUUGAAUUAUUGUAUUGUGAAUAAAGGCAUGAAAGGAAUUUAAUAGUAGUUAGGUAUUAAAAAGAAGAUCUAAUUCAAGUGGUAAAGCAAGUAUAUAAUGAUGAUAAAGUCCAGAGGAAAGGAAUAUUGUUUCACGCCUGCAUAGACAAGUAAGUCUGCCACGAACCCCUGUCCCUGCCAAGUAGAAAGCUAGUAAGCAAGUACUGAACUUCAAUCCUGCAUUCUCACUCUUGUUUUUGUCGCUCAAUCCAAAGAAAGAAAUAGGAAUACGAAUCCUCAUCCCCAAAGCCUGGGUCCUAGACUACUACGAAUAGAAAGAUUUCUAUGGAUAUCCUUUGUAUCAAUUUUAUAAUGCUUAUCACCUCCUUCUGAGCUAUUCCCACGGUGCCUGAGCAGUUGCCAUUGAGAAUGUUGUGGGGAACGAUUGGGUGACUUAGCACAAGCAGCGCGUAACAGGUCCUUUGCAGAUGGUAAGUACCUGGAUUUCAGAGGCAUUGCUAGAUGUGUCGACUUGCGAGACGAGAUUGCGGUGUAGCUCUUGAAAGAAAGAAAAAGAGGGGCUCAGUAACGGCAAUCAACGGCUCCUCGGAGGCAACCUAGCCAAUUGAGUAGAGAUAUGAAAUGACGAGCGAAUUACCCGAUUCCUAUUAUGCUACGCCCCGGGAUAGUAAUAGCCUUGUUUCGGAUUUUCUAGCGAUGACUAGCCCUUUGACGGCUCCUAUCCCUAGACACCGGCCCCUGGUACCAAUACUAGAGAUUUGCCUUGGCUGUAGUUCAAAGAAGUUCUUCGGCUUUGGGAAGAUGCGAACCUUAUACCAUUGUCCUUGGAUAGAUAUGAACCUUACGCGGGCAGCGGAUGAGCAUAUCCCUAGAAUACCUGCCUAUCCUACCUAACGCUGGGUUGAACCUAACGCUAGAGCGAGUACUACGAUGCAAGCUCCUUUUACAAGCGAUACCUUUGUCUUUGGUGCUUGAGUUGUCCUCCUAGCGGUGUGCUCCUCGGUUUCGGAAAUGACAUAUUGAACCGGUAUCUUUAGCAAAGCCCAAAUCCGGCAGACCCCUUUGACGGCAUCCCUCCUCUAAAGCUGCUUCCUUCCUUCAAGCAACGCAUUCACGAACCAAUACGUAGUACACGACGUAGUAAAUCAAUUAAAUAAUGCAAUCCGGGUUAAAGAAAUGAAAUGGUUGUUGCCUUCUCGGACAAGAAGGAAAUAUCACUCUCUAUCUAAAUGAUAGAAGUAUUUAAUCAAAUCAGAAAGAGCCCUGGGAUUUGACCAAAACGGCAUAAUUGAAAGCUCUCGUCUCUGCCGCUCGCCUAAGAAAAGGUAUCGGGUUGCUCCGUGAUGACGAAUAAGCAGCCCAGAAAUGAGGGGAGGAGACUCUGCCUCCAUAGUAUAAGUUGCUAUCCACUUAUGCUUGGUUUGUGCUUGACCACGAAAUCUUGCCUCCCACCAUCAUGAAAGACAGAUGAUGAUGUCGAUUUCUUACUGUCGAGACAGCCUGUCCGAAUCCAAAUCAUUUGACUUCCUCCUUUGCAGUGGCGAGGUCGUUGAUUCCUAUAAAUCAAGAUGUUUUGUUGCCUGCUUCUUUUUAUGAGCCUUCUCUCUUGGAUGGUAUUAUCCACUGGUAUAUUGUGAAAGUCUCUACAAAGACGAAAGGACCCCAUGCCUUCUUUGAAAAUGAUAUCCCUCUUCAAUGCUUCCGCUAGCCCUAGACUCGGAAUACUCUGCUUAAGAGAUCCCCCUCUCCGGCCAGAGAGGAUUUGAGUACAACAUUGAUUGCGGAAGAUCUUUGUUCCUAUUAUUUCAAAGCCUAACUAGGCGCGCAGCGGUGAGUGCGAGCUGCUUUCAAGAAAUGCUGGAAAAGAGCCAGUAACGCUAUCAGUGAAUAGAGCUGGUGUAAAGUCCGGCUAAAGUACCAUACAGCCCCACAGGUUUAGCCACACAUUCACAGAGCAUCUAAUCCAUCUUUUCCCAUGCCAAGGAAAAACAAAAACCAAAUCACCUCUUAGUGUUGCUUAGUGCUCAUGUGCAUCCUACUGGGUAGUCCUAAACUUCAGUAGUUCUAUGACCACUACAUGAUGGAAUUUAGGCUAUAGUAAGACAAGUUAAGGUUCCCACAGCAAUGAGGGCUUUAAAAUAUACUCCCUCCGUCCCUAAAUGUUUGACAUCGUUGACUUUUUUAAACAUGUUUGACCGUUCGUCUUAUUACAAAACUUUUGUGAAAUAUGUAAAACUAUAUGUAUACAUAAAAGUAUAUUUAACAAUAAAUCAAAUGAUAGGAAAAAAAAUUAAUAAUUACUUAAAAUUUUUGAAUAAGACGAACGGUCAAACAUGUUUAAAAAAGGCAACGGAGCUAAACAUUUAGGGACGGAGGGAGUACCUCCCAGCCCUUCAUCUCUAGGACGUCGGACUGGUCAAGCGGUACUAUGCACCCCCACUUUGGUAUACCCUCCUAAGAGGAGUACUUGACAGUAGGUGGUGGGUUUUUGGGGAUAGUAUGACUCGGCCCCUGGACCAUGCCAACCAAGACUUCCCACCAGGUUUUCCUAUUUGGGGAAAAUUCCAGAUAUGCAAGACGCAUAUGCAUGCAAUGCUUAGGUGUAGUGAGGUGGUGUGUGCUUAUUGCAAAUAGGUUAACCCUUAGUUUAUACAAACUACAUUUUUCACAAAGGAAAGAAAUGGGAAUGUUGGUGAAUUUUCAAGUCAAGCCAUUUAUAUUUAUAAGCCAAAAACCUUUGAUUUAAGGCUUUUAUUCCCUUGUGGAGUCGCGUGUUGUACGCCCGCAUUUUGGCACCGCUUGCCACAUCAUCAUUACUUUGGCCACCUAAGCAACCCAGUAGAAGAAAAAGGGGUUUAGAGUCGCCACCUGAAAAAUCACUGAAAAUUUGGAAUAAAUAAAUGGAUAUAUAUAUAUAUAUAUAUAUAUAUAUAUAUAUAUAUAUAUAUAUAUAUAUAUAUAUAUAUAUAUAUAUAUAUAGUGGCUAUCUUCCUUCAAGUGAGAGAGAGGAUCGAGAAACCAUCGCCCAAAGGUGCUUUCACGAAAGCCGGUCUCCGGGGGUAAAGAACCUUUCUUCACUCUUCCAGCCUUCCAAACCAUCCACUGGAUUUUCAUGUUCGUAAGUUGAAAGGAAUAUGUGUGUGUUGUAUAUAAAUAAAGGACUUUCGAUUUAGCGUUGUCAUUUUUACGAGGUUUUAGAUAAUCCAAUUUUCUGUGAGAUUACUUUCAUUUUGACUGAAUCACUUGAAUCAGUUAAAGGAGACGAGGCUUCUGGCCCAGCCAGAGGGGCUGGAGAGGAGAGUUUUGACCGCGGGGGAGGCAGGUCCAGUUAACGGGGAGAAUCCGCUAGGCUGAGGUUAAAAAAAUCUUCCAAAACUUUUUCUUUAGAGAUAGAAUUCCUCCCGAGAACACACGAAACAAAAAUAUGAACUAGGUAAAUAGAAAUGGAAAAGAGAUGUUUCCAAUUCAUCACAAAAUCUAAAGCUUUUUCUACAUCCAUAUGAUCUACUUUAGUAGAUUGGUAUUGCCCAUAUAAUGAAAGCAGAUCUUGGUCCAUGGAGUCCCAAGAAGGUUGGAACUCCAACCUGUCCGAUGCUUUUUCGGCCAAAUAAAUAGAAAAGUGGGACCAGCACAAUGAGCAAGCUGCGCGAAAAACCGCUUCUUUUUCCGGUUCCGCAACAACUUGGGCGAAAUGGGGUUCUACCGGGAAACCAUGGUCGAGUUUUUGACCUUGGUUACUGGUCGAGCCACUGGAUAAGAAUCUCUGGAGAUCUUUCCUCUCCACUUACUUGUAACAGGCUUUCCCUCUGUAUAAGACUUCUUCCGAAUGGCAUAAUUGUCCUGUCCUAUUGACACCUCGAUCUUUAAAGAAAACUGACUCCUCCUUCUCUUUUAGGAUUUGAUUGUUGUUGGUCCUUUUUUCAGUAAUGAUCUCACCAUAGUAGUUCGCGCGAGGGACUAUCUUUUCUAUCGCUUGCUUUUCACUCUCAAGACAACGGUCGGUCUCUCUAUGCUAUAAAGCGAAGCAAAGCGCAUGGCGCUGAAAGUUAAGAAAGCUCAAAAACACACACGAACACAAUGCAAGGCAUAGCAUAAAUGAGACCGCUGAUCAUUUUGCUUGACCUUUUUCUAUGCUUUUUUUGGGUGACUCACCAACCGACCGAGCAGUGAUCGAUGACAAAAUGGUACGAACAAAUCAUAGUCGUUGACCAUUAUACCGUGCUAUGGCACACUACUAGAUAGAUUGUAUGGCUCCGUUGGUGACUUUCUGAUCACGGGUUUCAUUUGAAAAACUCCAACGCCAUUCAUCUUGCGUCCGGUCUUUCAUGCAAGAGUUUUAUUUUUGGCCGCUACUACGUUCGUCGAAAACUUCUUGAUGGCACCAUCAUCUCAUUACCUUAUUUUUGCCCUUCGACUUCGGCUAUGACCAAUGCCCCACCUAGCUGAAUAGGCGUAACAAAGCUACCUGAAAAAGGCAAGGUGCACCUUAGAUUGAAAUCGACAAAUUGCGUUUUGCCAGAUGGAUUCUUUAGAAAGAUUCCCGGAUAAAGUUCAGUAAAAUAUUUAGUUAGAAUCUAAAUAAAGGUGCAUACGUGGGCGGGCAGGGGGCCCCACUACUUCUUCAUUCAGGGGGGCUAGCCUCAUGACUUCCCACUGGGCGAGGGGUGCGCCUAACCCACCUACUCAUUCAUCAAUUACGGUGUUCAGCUGACUUGCACAGAAAGACCCCUAUUGUUUAGUAAUUUGGCGCCCCAUCUUUUUUUUGAUUGACUGUUGUCAACUAAUCUUUUCAAUGUUCGAUUCUACUCUAUGUUAGAACAUUUCUGUGAAUGCUAUUUCGAUCUAAGUGGUCCUAUUCUCUGUCCCGUGCUAGGAAGCAUUACUCUUCUUUUCAUUCCAAAUUCUUCUAUAAGACUGAUACGAUUGAUUGGUCUGUGCAUUUCUCUUAUUACUUUUUUGUAUCCCCUUGUUCCUCGGAUACAAUUCGAUCCUUCUACGGCCAAAUCUCAAUUUGUGGAAAGCCUUCGAUGGCUUCCUUAUGAAAACAUCCAUUUGUAUAUGGGUAUAGACGGUCUUUCAUUAUUCUUAGUGAUAUUGACCACAUUUCUGAUCCCUAAUUGCAUUUCAGUGGGUUGGUCUGGUAUGAGAAGUUUUAGGAAAGAGUAUAUUACAGCAUUUCUAAUUCGUGAAUUUCUAAUGAUCGUCGUGUCCUACAUGUUGGAUCCUCUACUAUUCUAUGUUCUUUCCGAAAGUGUGCCAAUCCCUAUGUUGUGCGGAGCUGAGCAUCUUCUAUUCGCUGGGAUCAAGCUUUUCCUCUGCAGGGGCCUUUUGCAGUAAACCCCCUACGGGCGGUCCCCUGUCGUCGUAAAGUAGUAAAGGUCCCCGCGAAGCUUUCGGGAAGAGGGGUAGUCUUGUGUGUAAGCAUAGCAUUUCUAGUCGAACCACCGAACCACACAUCUUUUUUUGGUGGGAGGGUACUCCGAGUAGUGGGUACCUCGUAGGACCUCGACCCGCCUACUCAGGUCUUGUAUGGAUAUGCAGGAAGGGGUGCUCCUAGGUGUGUGUAGGGGGUGUGUUUGUUCACGAGAAAGGAUUCCUCGUCAAGUCAGGGGGAGGGGGGGUGUGGACACACUUGCGCGAAUUCGGGUAACGGCUACAAGGGAUAAAAAUAAAGGAAACUGUACCCGACCAGGGAUGGACGUAAACUCGUAAGCUACCAAGGGUAGGGAUAAUCAUCUAGGUCUUAUUGUUUAAAAAAAAGCCGCCCCGCCACAGCAGGCAGGUUAGUUCCUCUGUCGUUGCCAGAGAGUUCUUGGCGAAGAGACCUUAGGAUAAGUUGCUAAAACAAACGGGGGAGGGGGGGGAUCGACCCGUUCAGUAGAAUUCCGAAGAAAGACUGUUGGCAGCAGGUGGAGACAUUUCUUUGGCCCCCUUCCAAAUAAAUGCGGGCAGGGUAGAGCUCGGCGGAGGGUUCGAGAAUAGGGUAGGGUCCUGUCCUAAUAAAGAAAAUCAAGAUAAAUAAAGGGGCGGGUCCCUUUAUGCAUGCAUCUUUGUACAAGUGGAGGCCGGAAAGAUCAAACCAAUAGAACCGCUCACAUCACAGUAGUCGUAGUUGCGUAAAGGCCGUCAGUCAGGGGGCGACCAUAACAUAAGGCAAUGACUUUCACAGAUCUCUCUAUCGUUAGAUAUAACGAACGGGCGGGUUUGAAAGGUAGGGUUUUUGACGGCCCUACCACUAGUCCUGCUAGCCUUCUUUCGGGCAGGAAGCAGACCGGGCCCGACGAGCGGGCAUCUCCCGCUAUGCAAGCAGCAUGGUUCGCCACCACUCGAGAAGCAAAAGAUUCGAGAGUCAAGGCGGAAAAGACAAGCAUAGUGGUCUAAUGACAAGGGCCGACGACGGAAGUCUAACGUACAGUUCCCUGAGAAGGGAGUGGCUACCCACUGGAGCUUUGACCAACCACCACCGGUCAAUUCCGCUUUGGGGCCACCCUUGACUCUACCAUCAUUAUAGGGGUAUGGGGUUCGAGACAAAGAAAGAUCAAGGCAGCAUAUCAGUUUUUCCUAUAUACUUUACUGGGAUCUGUUUUUAUGCUAUUAGCUAUUCUGUUGAUUCUUCUCCAAACAGGAACCACCGAUUUACAAAUUUUAUUAACCACAGAAUUUAGUGAGCGGCGCCAAAUCCUUCUAUGGAUUGCUUUUUUCGCCUCUUUUGCCGUCAAAGUGCCUAUGGUACCAGUUCAUAUUUGGUUACCCGAAUCCCAUGUAGAGGCACCUACGGCUGGAUCCGUCAUCUUGGCAGGAAUUCUUUUAAAAUUGGGAACCUACGGGUUUUUAAGAUUUUCAAUACCCAUGUUUCCCGAAGCGACACUUUGUUUCACUCCUUUCAUUUAUACUCUAAGCGCGAUUGCUAUAAUAUAUACUUCCUUGACCACUUUAAGACAGAUCGAUCUUAAGAAGAUCAUUGCCUACUCCUCAGUAGCCCAUAUGAAUUUGGUGACUAUUGGUAUGUUUAGUCGGGCAGCGGCCGUUAGGUCACCUAUUUUGAGUUAUGGACACACAAGCAAGGCCAAAACAUGUGUGCCGGGCGUGCGACCCAUCAACCUACUAGCAAUAGGGGGGAAAACUUAGCAUGUCGCAACAAAAGCAUCGAUUCGAGGCGUCAGCAAAACACCGCCGUCUGUUCCUAAAACAAAACCCCUUAGCGCCCCGGGGCGGGAGUGGGGGACGGCCCUAUGCAGACAGCAACAGCACCGGCUCUACGAAGUCCGAAUUGAAUCUUUUGGUUCCCUUGAAUAAGAAUUGUUGGGCGCGGCGAAGCGAGCGCUUCUAGCUGUUUCGCUUGCUUCUUUCUUAUUGUGGCGGCUAUUAUAGCGUGGCUGAAAUGACCGAAAAGCGAGAUGAACCUUUCAAAUCAAUUGAUAUAGAUGGCCUGAUCUGUUCUGGUAGAUCGAAAGGGUAUCUAUCAAUAAUAAGGGUUGACCUCUUUCUAUCUAUUGAUGAUACAAGAUAUCUAUCUAUUCUGGAUCCAUCAGAAAGAAAUCGAUAUGUAUCUGAUGGAGUCUACAUCGUAUGUAGAGCGCCCAAGCGCUUUUUUGGCCAGCUCAAUUCUAUUAUCCAUCGGUCCAAUGCACUGGCGCAUCUCAUGGGGGGGGGAAGCAAAUGUAGUUAGUUGUCUUGUUGUUGUUCGCCGCCUCGACACAUUCCCCGGCAUCGUCCCACACAGAAAGAAAGAGCGUGGAGCCCCAGCCCGACCUGUAAGUCCGCUAACGUAAAGUGAGGAGUUGAGCCUGAACUGGCGAACCGAAGUCACUUUCGUAACCAUACUUCCUACAGCUAACACGUGUUCGGUCCAGCGGGAACGCGCAGCGCAAACGAACAUGAGCUGCUUUACCGAAUAUCCCCCGCUGGCCAUCGGGGACCUAGUGGUAAGGCCAUGAUCCGCAGUGCAGGGGAAGGGAUCACUCAUUCUUCUAUUGGGGACAGGUGCACGAACGACAACUCCAAAUGUCAGACAUCCGUCACCUAUACCUACCGUUUAGGUGGCACCAGCGAGAUCCAGCUAAGGUAAGGAACUUCGUGUCGCGGCUGCUCCACUCCGCUGCGGUCUUUUGAACAGAACUUCGUUGCCUUCCCGCGCGCGAAACGAAUGGGCGCAGUGUCGUGGGUCAGUUUUGGGGCGGGGGGCAGAGAGAGACCAGAAGAAUGAUUCAUUUGGAUCAACGAGCCAUUCGCGAUUCAGUAGAAUGUCUCUCUAUCCAUAUCUAUUCUAUCUUUAUAUGACGGGCCAUAAAAAAAAGAAGUAUUUUUUUAUGGCAUGUGAGAUGAUCGCGCCUAGUAGCCACAUAUCAGCUGCGCUCAAUUUGCGGGAUUUCCGUUGGAUCUGAUCUUUCGCUUUGACGAAUUCGGACCUAGCGAAUGGACCGUAGAACGGAAAGCGCCUUCUAAACAACUCGGUAGAAGGGAAGGGGCCUAUGUAUUUGCAUGACCCCUGCGGAUUUGACCCUACCUACACCCGGAGCCAAUCCCCUAGCGGUCCUGCCACCACGCCGCAGAACAGGAGCUCGUGUGGAACCUUGGAUUUCUGGCGUAACAGCGGUGGAAGUUAUAAAAAUAUUACGGCCACAUAACAUAGGGGCCUACGCUAAGGUCGGCCAAAAUAUGGACACCCGAAGGGCCUGGCACGCACAAUCCUAUCCUAUCCGAGCCCGUCAUUGCAUGCACUUCGGACAGCCGUCUGUAGCAUCAUAAAGAGCACCUCCCUUUCGAGGUACCCAAAUGGAACGGGCUUUAUUUGUGUUGUUGGUUGGUCUUUCUCAACGUGGUCUAUAGCACGAAAAACCAUUCUUUACAAGAUAGGGCCGUUCACAUGAAAGAUAAGAAAAAAAUCCAUUCUUCAUGGUCGGGCGCAUUUCUCCAAAUCCUCCAGGAUCACAAGUGGAACGCUAAGCAAGGGUGGGGAGGCUGCGAGCUCCAUGUCGAACAGAAAGAAGCAAGCAGGGGGUGUUGCCAUAGCGUGUCGGGGAGCAAGCGUAGGCAACCAAACUAAAUAAGGCUAAAAAAAAAGUAGCUAGCGUUUUUAAGCUGGCUGCCUUUUCUAGCGCGCGUACUCUUCUGUGGAGUCGCACGGAACGAGCCUUGUCUUCCCUCCAACGACUAGCUCCCUUUUCUUGUUCCGGUCACCCUUCUCUUGCCGUGGAAGGACUUUUGCCUGUGGUGUGGUCCAACCCGUGGGCGGAGUCGCCCUCAUCCCCCCAUUGCUCAGUGCUCCCUGCAGCUUCGCUGGGCUUUACCCGCGUGGACGCGGGCUUCUAUAAGAGAAUGAAAAGCUCUCUCUUUACAAUAAAAUGCGAACCGCGCGGAGCCCACCCUUUUUUGUUUUCUGCCGCCACUGGGUGGCCGCUGGGGAAACACAGCCCGGCCGCCUGUCGGGAAAGGGGGGUGGGGGGAUGGGCCUACCUAUCCUGAGGGAGCAUGUUGAGAGGUUCCAUAUGCCGAGCCAAAGGGCAGAACUUCAGUGCGUGAUCGUAGUAUGUCACCUCGUCUCGUCCUCGCAGCAUCGAAGAGUACUUAUGCACUAUGUUCCGAUUCACUGAUAAGGAAGAUAGAGUUGGGGUGGAGGUCUACAAUGUGAUACUAUAGUAUAGUAUGCCCCGGGGGGAAAGAUGCGCAACUCAAAACGGAAGCAGGAAGCGUGUUGUAAAAAAUGUCGGAGGUUACCAGAUCUCUGAGACUACCAUCGAUCCGAUAGAGCGGAUCGACCAGAAAAGAAGUGGAGUUAGAAAGCCGUAUGAUAGGUGGUAACUAUCUUGUACGGUUCGGAGGGUAAGCGGCGUACUCUGGGGGAAUAUUAGGCUCUAUCGAACAUACAGGGAAUUGGGGGUAGCAUUUUACUUAUGUUAAGUCAUGGACUGGUUUCUUCAGCCCUUUUUCUAUGUGUUGGUGUUCUAUAUGACCGACAUAAGACUCGACUUGUUAGAUAUUAUGGAGGUUUAGUGAGCACCAUGCCGAAUUUCUCUACCAUUUUCUUCUUUUUCACUUUAGCCAAUAUGAGUUUACCCGGCACUAGCAGCUUUAUUGGGGAAUUUCUAAUCUUAGUAGGAGCUUUCCAAAGAAAUAGCUUAGUAGCCACAUUAGCAGCGCUUGGGAUGAUUUUAGGUGCGGCGUAUUCCCUUUGGCUAUAUAAUCGUGUGGUUUCUGGAAAUUUAAAACCUGAUUUCCUCUAUAAAUUCUCCGAUCUAAAUGGCAGAGAAGUUUCCAUAUUUCUACCUUUUCUUGUUGGAGGGGCGACCGUCCGUUGAACUACCAAAAAAGGGUCAACCAAUGUGAUCAUGACAUUGUAGGUGCUUGCGAUGGGACGGAUGCAACUUCCCUCAUAAGUAAUGGGUGGCAUAGCCCGUAGCAGAAGUCCCCUUUUUUUAUCCAUUUUUUAUUACCACAGAGGGGCCCGCCCUGGUGGGACCGAGAGAAAGAAAGGACGGGGGAGGGGGGGGCGACCAUACAUGGCAAUUCUCGACCGUGUCUCCGAGGGACAGUUGAACGAGCGACUCAUGAAUGCGUCCGGGUCGGACGAGCCAAUAACUCGAACGUGUUCGGUCAGUUUUUUGAGCAAGAAUCACAGCGUUACCUUACCUUCACCAUGAUACGGACUCCAAGUUCUUAUGGAAGAGCACGAGGAGUUUCCUUCAAUAUGAUGAUGAGAAUGGAAACCAGAAGCACGACUGGGUCUUCGUAGUCUGGGAUCAAACUUAUAUAUCAGUCACAGUAACGUAAGCAUGAGACUUUUUGGUAGUACCGGUGAACCAGAUGGCCGCGGCAAGGGAAUCUGGGAUGGAGGACUCGUAAUAUCUCUAUAGAUCUGGCAAAAGCGAAAGACCCCUAACGUCAGGGGCUGACCACUGAGCUCACUCAGGCCUCGCUGGGCGGGCCAGAGUGGGUGCGAGCUGGAAUUGCCAUAGCUUAUGGUUAGAGCAAUAGGAAAGGGUCCAGCAGAGAGAACAGUCAGGAUAACGAGCGCGGAGCCCGCUUGGCAGGCGGCAGGAGCUGCGGGCAAGUGCUUGCUUGGUAGGCCAACAGCCCUGUGAACCGGGCGGGGCACUCGACGAAAGGGGGGCACACUGAGCAAGUACGAAAAAUUGGCCCCGCGGAGCUUUCAAAAAGAAAAGCAAGGACCACUACGGGAGGUCGAACCACGGACCGGAGGUAGUAGAACAUGAUGCGUACCUGUCAAUAUUGGAUCAAACAAUAGGGGACCGUAGCACUGACUUUUUUUCAAGACAAUAGGUACUGUUCCCUACCGAGACAAGGGACACUCUCAACGGAUCCUCCAUGCGCUGUGUUGGGCAUACCAUAGUUCUUCCGUGCGUCUUUAUCGUGGCGGAAACAGAACAAGAGGGAAAGACCCGGCUGACUCGCCCAGGGCUCGAGGGCGAGCCAUUCGAGAGUGAGUCGAAUUCUGUUUACGUUCUCGGUUUGGUUUGGGCCCCUCUCGAUCUUUUGCGUAUAAGGGAGGGGGGAAGGAGUCUAAAUCUAUGGACAUUAAUGAACCACCAUUGAUGGACGUUGCACAUGACACGAUCAAUUCGACUUGACGGUCCGGUGCUAAUAGAAGUCGCUUACUCUCCGUCUAGCGAAGGUGCCAGGGGCAGGGCUUUUUUGUAGUAAUAGUGGGUGGGUCUCAUGGGAUUUCAUCUAUGCCGGCCGUCAGAAUCAAACGAGGGUCGAAGGACCAUUCGAUUCAUUAAGGGGGACGGCCCAUUUGUAAGGCGGGGGCCCUGAUGGACGACAUCCCCCGGCCUCGAUUCUUUUGCAUAGUCUGGGGGCCGGCCGCAGCAGAGCUGCAGGGCAUAGCGGCACCCUCGCCUGGCGCCAUUCUCGGACCUAGCAGCAGAUGGGCGGGCCGGGCCUGAAUGAAGAGCGGACCACGCACUCAGACCGGAAGAUCCCAGUUGUCCUGGACUAGACAAGUACGUAGAGAUCUUCGUGGAACCGAGGAGGGAGUCUCAAUCGAUCUUUUCUAGGAUUCAAACUCACGCCACGCACGAAGAUUUUUCUAUUGAUAGAGUUAAGGGCUCGGCUCCCCUGACUCUAAAAGGUUAGGUUACUACCAACUUGCCUCUACGGAAGAGGUGUACUUUGUAUUGUCUGGGGGUUAUAUUAUGGGACGGAGUACAAGUUGAAGAAAAAAAAUAUUAAGUACAUAUUAGUUAUAGCUAAGAAACGGUGAUAUUGUUUUUCAUAUAUAACCCUUAAAUUGAUACCCGAGAUCUUCUAUAGCUGCUGUAGUAGAUAUAUCCAUUUUUGCAGUAAAUUAAUUAUUAAAAAAAUAGGGCACAAUAUAGCACGAGUAGUGCACGAGACAACAAAGAAAUUAUUGAUGAGGUAGCUAGCUUUAAGCUGUUGUGGGAGGUCAUCGCCUCACCAACUGCAUGCUAAAUAUAUCGAUAGAUAUAUUAUGCUUUGUUAUAUUCUGUCUUGCCUAACCGGCCGCAUCUCCCCCUUCCUCCACUCACUUUAAGCAUCGAUCACUGCUUGGUACUACUACGUCGCUUAAUCACUUCUUGAUUCCUUUGCUAACCUACUACUCCACUACUUGGCCUGCCACAGUUUGAUAGCUAGCUUAGCUAGCUAGCGAUCGAUCGACGUCGUCGUUGAUCCAUCGCCACCGGCGCCGGCGGCGAUGUGCCUCCCGUUCCUCUGCGGCGGUGACGACCCCGUGAAAAAUAGCGAGGUACGGCCGCCGGCGAGGCACCCGAGAGAAGGUCCAAACGACGGCGACGGCGGCCACAAGCCAUCACCACCUCCGCAUGCCGGCGGCGCCGUCAACGGCAACGGGGGAGCUGCUCCGCCUGCUCCGGCGACGUCGCCGGACACCGAGGUCCGGGCGCCCACCUAUGGCGAUAAACAGAUCAGUCCUCCGAAGGAAGGCGCAGCUGGGAAGCCGCCUAUGGUGGUCCCGGCGGCAAAUCAUCCGCAAGCUCCCACCGGCGAGGAGGCUAAGAAGGCUCACGGCGGCGGCGGCGCCGUCGGUCGCCGCAAUGGAAUUUCGUCCACGGUACUCACGGCGCCGCCGCCAGUGGGACCCAUGGCUGCUCCAGCGACGACAGUGAAGGAUGCUCCUCCUGCUGCUGCUGCUGCUGCCGCCAACGACGUCCAUGGCGAUGCUGAUGAGCAACACCCUGGCUAUGGUGAUCACGGCGAGGUCGACGACCGCAAGCCUCGACGCAGAUCAUGGUUGUGAGGUGAGCAAUGGCACGCAACUACAUAUUGGCUGUGCUGUGAAUUGUGAUCCUCGUUCUUUAUGCAUAUGCCGCUCUCGGCGCUGCUGGCUGGUGAUCAACGAUGCAUAUAUACAUAUGUGCUAUAUAUAUUUUUACAGGUUUGCAAAAAAUAAAGAGACAUUAGUUGCUAAUUGUUGUUCUUGUGCCCUAACUAGUUUGGGUGUAAUAUUGUGUUAAUUGUUGUAUUUUAGUAUGUGCACUUGUAUGGGUGUUGAUGAAUCAUGGACAUAUAUCAGUAUUGCAUGAUCUCGAUUAUAAUGCAGAGCAAAAUCUGCAAAUUUGUUCUUUUUGUUUUAUGGAAGGAUGUAAAUUAAUCUUGUCAACUUCCAUCUGUUUUUGUAUUAGUUAUCUGUGUUUAGUUUCAUCUCCAUCAUAUCAUUGACGACGAUUUAAUCGAACUAGCUAAGCUUGCUAGGCAGUAGAAUCAUGGUCUCAUGGAUAACUGGUGGAGAAACCAUCUUUGGUCGGUCGACCAGAUUUUACAAUAGUUCCGGUUGUAUUAAAAACCGGAACUAAAAAUAUCUUUAGUCCCGGUUUAAAAGCUAUAGGGUACUUUUUCAAUCUUUAGUACCGGUUGGUGUUACCAACCGGGACUAAAGAUCUAUUUGUAGUCCCGGUUGAUAACACCAACCGGGAAAAAAGAUCGCCAUUCGCUUUACUCUCGGUUGGUGUUACCAACCGGGACUAAAGAUCUAUUUAUAGUCCUGGUUGGUAAAACCAACCGGGAGUAAAGAUCGACGCGGAGAUCAGAGAGGUGUGCGCGAUCGGAUCGAGGCCAGUACCUCCUCCUCUCCUCAACCUUAUCUCCUCCUCUCAUUUUUAACUCCUCUCCUCAAUCUUAUCUCCUCCUCUCAUCCUUAUCUCUAUUCCUCUCCUUCUCCUCUCCUCCUCUCUACCGCCAGGGGCGCGAGGGCGGCAGGUCGCGGAGGGCCGGCCGGCGCGGCAGCGGGGCGUGGUGGGCCGGCCGGCGCGGCGGCUGGCGGCUACGCGGCGGCGGGGCGCGGUGGGCCGGCUGGUGCGCCGGCGGCGCGACGCGCGGUGAGGCGGCGGUCGGCGGGGCGCGGAGGGCGGGCCGGCCGGCGCGGCGGCAGCGCGCGGCGAGGCAGCGCUUUCUCCUUCUUUUUUUUUAAGAAUCUGAGAUUGUUGUGUGAUGUAUUUGAUUUGUGUGUGAUGUGAAUAUGUGAUGAAUUUUGUAAAAGUUGUGAUGUAAUUUUUUUUAAGAUUUUAUGAUGUUUUUGAGUAUUUGAGAUGAUCGAUUUGUGGAUUUGGAGACAAUUUGAGGAUGAUUGAUUUGGGAUUUUGGGGACGGGAUGGAGUGAAAUCAAUAUAUUUAAAAAUAAUGAAGAAAAGAAUAUAAUAAAAAGGAACGGGAAAGAACAACCGGAUUAGCCUCUUUAGUCCACCAACCGGGACUAAAGAUGCUUUAUCUUUAGUCCCUGUUAGUAACACCAACCGGGACAAAAUCGAUUUUUACCCUCGGUUUUUUCACCCGGGACUAAAAAUAACGAUAUUUAGUCCUGGAUUCGUAGUCCCGGUUCAAAAACCGGGACUAUAGGGGGUUACGAACCGGGAGUAAUAACCCUUUCUCCACCGGUGGAUAUUUAACAACAAUUGUGCAUAGUGGUUUGUGUUUAUGCUCGUGUGGACCAACGGAAUAUGUUCCCAAGCCAAGAUGUCACAAAAUGCAUGACUCUCACUCGUUUGGAUGAGAAAGAACCUCUUCCCAUUCUCUUGGCACAUUCCAUUCAUUAAUGUAGGCAAUUCAGAAGGAAAGAGGAGGGGGGGUGGGGGGUGGGUUUAAAACGUGAUCGACAGUAAUUUGCAUGUUUGGUAGACAACGUUUCUCAAUUAGGAAAGGGGAACAGAUAAUGUGCUGUUUAAAAUAUAAAAAGUGCACCUUUUGCUGAAAUCUUACUACUCUCGCGUUUCAUAUUAUUAGUUGAUUUAACUUUUGUUUUAGUCAAAUUUAUUUAAUUUUGAUCAAAUUUAUUAAAAAAGAAAACAACAUUUUCAAUACUGAACAACCAUACUAUAAAAAUAUAUUUAAUGUUUCAAAACUAAUUUAGUGUUAUAAGAGUUGCUACAUUUCUCUUAAAUUUUAGUCAAAUUUAUUGAAGUUUGAUUUAGAAAAGAAAGAAAAAAUCA